rnacentral:rRNA from 1 species
UCUCGAGACUCAGUCGUCUAGUUGAAGGUGAAAAGUGUAUGCGUUUUCGGUGAACAUAAAAGUCGCCAGCGUGUAUAUUAGUAUUACCGAUAGUCGACGCAUUUCUCGAGAGUAAGCAAUGCAACCGAUACGAAAGGCUAACGAGGUGAAUGGAUUGAGGUCUAGCGUUCUUGCGGACGUUAGUUACCAGUCUAUUCGCGCUUAAGUCGUUAGACCGCAGUAUGUAUCGAGCGCUAAUUAAAAUGAAAAUAUGUCGACCGUUUCUGGUUCGUCGAACGAUGGAUAAUCGGCUAGUCGAUUGGUUACCUACUCGUAGGUGCUAAUUCGUCUUAUAUUAUAUCGGUCGAUUUAGAAGUCGUCGACGACUCGACAUAUAGGCGUUUGCAUUGUCAGAGUCGGUCACCCGUCCGACCCGUCUUGAAACACGGACCAAGGAGUCUAACAUAUGCGCGAGCCAAUAGGUGGAAAACCUAAAGGCGCAAUAAAAGUGAAGGCUAUUUUUUUAAAUGGUCGAGGUACGAUCUUGGACUGGUAUUCCCUUAAACAAGGAAUAUUUUUGCUCUAAGCGCAGUACCGUCUCAUCCCUAAGGCAUGUCCUAAGGGUGAAGAUAGAGUGCAUACGUUGGGACCCGAAAGAUGGUGAACUAUGCCUGASCAGAGCGAAGCCAGAGKAAACU